UACGUAGGAUGCAAGCGUUGCCCGGAAUUAUUGGGCGUAAAGAGCGCGCAGGCGGUAACUCAAGUCAGAUGUGAAAUAUCCGGGCUUAACCCGGAGGGGUCAUUUGAAACUGAGUAACUAGAGUACAGCAGAGGAUAGCGGAAUUCCCGGUGUAGUGGUGAAAUGCGUAGAUAUCGGGAGGAACACCAGUGGCGAAGGCGGCUAUCUGGGCUGAAACUGACGCUGAGGCGCGAAGGCUAGGGGAGCAAACAGG
rnacentral:rRNA from 1 species